UACGGAGGGUGCUAGCGUUGUUCGGAAUUACUGGGCGUAAAGCGUACGUAGGCGGCUAUUCAAGUCAGAGGUGAAAGCCCGGGGCUCAACCCCGGAACUGCCUUUGAAACUAGGUAGCUAGAGUCUUGGAGAGGUUAGUGGAAUUCCGAGUGUAGAGGUGAAAUUCGUAGAUAUUCGGAAGAACACCAGUGGCGAAGGCGACUAACUGGACAAGUACUGACGCUGAGGUACGAAAGCGUGGGGAGCAAACAGG
rnacentral:rRNA from 1 species